rnacentral:rRNA from 1 species
AGCAGCCGCGGUAAUUCCAGCUCCAAUAGCGUAUAUUAAAGUUGUUGCAGUUAAAAAGCUCGUAGUUGAAUUUCGGGAUCAAUAUGUCGGUCGUGCCUUCGGUACGUACUGGUAUCAUUGGUCUCUCCUUUCUGACGAACCAUGAUGUCAUUAAUUUGGUGUUAUGGGGAGUUAGGACUGUUACUUUGAAAAAAUUAGAGUGUUUAAAGCAGGCUUUAGCUUGAAUACAUUAGCAUGGAAUAAUGAAAUAGGACGUUCGAACCUAUUUUGUUGGUUUCUAGGAUCAACGUAAUGAUUAAUAGGGAUAGUUGGGGGCAUUAGUAUUCAAUUGUCAGAGGUGAAAUUCUUGGAUUUAUUGAAGACUAACUACUGCGAAAGCAUUUGCCAAGGAUGUUUUCAUUAAUCAAGAGCGAAAGUUAGGGGAUCGAAGACGAUCAGAUACCGUCGUAGUCUUAACCAUAAACUAUGCCGACUAGGGAUCGGAUGAUGUUAAUUUUUUAAUGACUCA